rnacentral:rRNA from 1 species
AACGAACGCUGGCGGCAUGCCUAACACAUGCAAGUCGAACGAGACCUUCGGGUCUAGUGGCGCACGGGUGCGUAACGCGUGGGAACCUGCCCUUAGGUUCGGAAUAACUCCCCGAAAGGGGUGCUAAUACCGGAUAAUGUCUUCGGACCAAAGAUUUAUCGCCUUUGGAUGGGCCCGCGUUGGAUUAGCUAGUUGGUAGGGUAAAAGCCUACCAAGGCGACGAUCCAUAGCUGGUCUGAGAGGAUGAUCAGCCACACUGGGACUGAGACACGGCCCAGACUCCUACGCGAGGGAGCAGUGGGGAAUAUUGGACAAUGGGCGAAAGCCUGAUCCAGCAAUGCCGCGUGAGUGAUGAAGGCCUUAGGGUUGUAAAGCUCUCUUACCCGGGAUGAUAAUGACAGUACCGGGAGAAUAAGCUCCGGCUAACUCCGUG